CCUACGGGUGGCUGCAGUGAGGAAUAUUGGUCAAUGGGCGCAAGCCUGAACCAGCCAUGCCGCGUGCAGGAAGACGGCCCUAUGAGUUGUAAACUGCUUUUGUAAGAGGGUAAAGUCAGUUACGCGUACCUGUCUGCAAGUACCUUACGCAUAAGGAUCGGCUAACUCCGUGCCAGCCGCCGCGGCAAUACGGAGGAUUCAAGCGUUAUCCGGAUUUAUUGGGUUUAAAGGGUGCGUAGGUGGUUGGUUAAGUUAGAGGUGAAAUGCCGAGGCUCAACUUCGGAAUUGCAGCUGAUACUGUACGGCUAGAGAGCAGUUGCGGUAGGCGGAAUGCGUGGUGUAGCGGUGAAAUGCUUAGAGAUC
rnacentral:rRNA from 1 species